rnacentral:rRNA from 1 species
GAUGAACGCUGGCGGCGUGCCUAAUACAUGCAAGUCGAGCGAACGGACGAGAAGCUUGCUUCUCUGAUGUUAGCGGCGGACGGGUGAGUAACACGUGGAUAACCUACCUAUAAGACUGGGAUAACUUCGGGAAACCGGAGCUAAUACCGGAUAAUAUUUUGAACCGCAUGGUUCAAAAGUGAAAGACGGUCUUGCUGUCACUUAUAGAUGGAUCCGCGCUGCAUUAGCUAGUUGGUAAGGUAACGGCUUACCAAGGCAACGAUGCAUAGCCGACCUGAGAGGGUGAUCGGCCACACUGGAACUGAGACACGGUCCAGACUCCUACGGGAGGCAGCAGUAGGGAAUCUUCCGCAAUGGGCGAAAGCCUGACGGAGCAACGCCGCGUGAGUGAUGAAGGUCUUCGGAUCGUAAAACUCUGUUAGUGGGGAAGAACAUAUGUGUAAGUAACUGUGCACAUCUUGACGGUACCUAAUCAGAAAGCCACGGCUAACUACGUG